GACGAACGCUGGCGGCGUGCUUAACACAUGCAAGUCGAACGGAAAGGCGCUGCGUUUGUGGGGUUCUCGAGUGGCGAACGGGUGAGUAACACAUGAGUAACCUGCCCUUGUCUUUGGGAUAACUUUAGGAAACUGGGGCUAAUACCGGAGAGGAGCUCCUGCUGCAUGGGGGGGGUUGGAAAGUUUCGGCGGUUGGGGAUGGACUCGCUGCUUAUGAGCUUGUUGGUGGGGUAGUGGCUUACCAAGGCUUUGAAGGGUAGGCGGCCUGAGAGGGUGACCGGCCACAUUGGGACUGAGGUACGGCCCAGACUCCUACGGGAGGCAGCAGUGGGGAAUAUUGCACAAUGGGCGGAAGCCUGAUGCAGCAACGUCGCGUGCGGGAUGACGGCCUUCGGGUUGUAAACCGCUUUCGCCUGUGACGAAGCGUGAGUGACGGUAAUGGGUAAAGAAGCACCGGCUAACUACGUG
rnacentral:rRNA from 1 species